UUCCCCUAUGCAAAAAAAAGUGCAGGAAGAUGUUUGUUUGUCCAAGGUAUUUGUCACUCUAUUUUAAUACAUAGUAGGGGUACACACUGAAUUUUUUGUUGAAUGGUGGUAGCACAGCAGAUCAGAUCAAAAUUUUAAGAACAAAAUUUGCAAACAUUAAAUGUGAAGUUGUGAAGCUAUUAUAUUUCAUACAUCUCGGAGAAAAGGAUGCAUAAGCUUGGCGUAGUCUAUUCAUCACAGCACUAGUUUAGUGAGAGAUAAAUCCAAGACUAAGCAAGGAAUUCUAAACCAUCUCACUAUUUUUAGUGAGAGAUAAAUCCAAGACUAAGCAAGGAAUUCUAAACUUUCUUACAAAAGCAUGAAUGUCAAAAGGCUCCUCACCUUAUGCUCCAUUAUCUAGCCACCUUCUUGCACCCAUUUUCCAAUAUCCAUUUUCAACUAUAUGUGUUUUCUAAGGGUUACUAUUAUAUAAUCAGCAAAAAGACAAAUGAAAUACAAACAGCAAGAGCACGCUCUACAAAUGAGAAAUUGCAUUCUUCCUUUACAAUCAAACAUUUUAUUUCCUGUUUAGUAUGCAUUUUAAUGAUGAAGAAGUGUCAAUAUUUUGGUACUGAAAUAUCCUUUUAAUGUGUACAUUUGGGAAUGUGCUCUAGCAUAUCCAGAAAGUUUUGAAUAUAUAAAUGCAUAGAUUUAAACAAUGUUGAGGAGGAAAGACACCACAAGGGCUAUGAAGCAAAACUGUAAUUGGUUAUUUAACUAUUAUUAACAGAUAUAAACGACUAUUCCUUUGACAAUAAGAAGGUAUCUGAAUUAUAAGAAAUAAUUCGUCUUUGAGAAGGAAAUGCCAGAAAUUAUCUUCUGUUAAGUAUUGAGGCAAGUAUUACUUGGAGUGUGUUGUGAACUUUUCUUAUACUUUUUACUUCAAUAAAGGUCUAAUAAAUGAAGGGAAAGGGAUUGCUUUCACUCAUCAAUAAAUCUAUUUCUGCUGUGGAUUUGUUAUUUCAUUUACCUUAAUAACAAGCAUGUCAAUAACUCGAGGAUCUGUGACAUGAGCAUUCUUCAUGAACAUCUCCCGCACCUUAU